CUGGGAUUACAGGCGCCCGCCCCGAUGCCCAGCUAAUUUUUGUAUUUUUAGUAGAGACGGGGUUUCACCAUGUUGGCCAGGCUGGUCUCAAAUUCCUGACCUCAGGUAAUCUGCCCCUUGGCCUUCCAAAAUGCUGGGAUUACAGGUGUGAGCCACUGUGCCCGGCCUCUCUCUUUUUUUUAACAGAUGGGGUCUCACUCUGUCGUCCAGGCUGGAGCGUGCUGGCAUGAUCAUGGCUUGCUGCAGCACCCAACUCCUGGGCUCAAGUGAUCCUCCAGCCUCAGCCUUCCAAGGAGCUGGGACUACAGGCACAUGCUAGGCCUCCUGGAUGACACACGUGCAGGAGAACUAAGGAGCCCCAGCUGACAGUUGGGAUGAACUGCCGGACGUGGAAGGCCACGCAGACCAUCAGAUCUUGCUCUAUCGCCCAGGCUGGAAU
rnacentral:lncRNA from 1 species